ensembl:lncRNA
AUGGGUGAAGCUAGGACAGAAGAGGAGAGUGAGGGGGAGGGAUGGGAGGAGAGAAGGGAUGGGAAGAGGAGAGAGGAGGGAUGGGAGAAGAGAGGCGAGAGGAGGGAUGGGAGGAGAGAGGAGGGAUGGGAGGAGAGGAGAGAGAUGGGAGGAGAGGAGAGAGAUGGGAGGAGAGAGGAAAGAUGGGAGGAGAGAGGAGGGAUGGGAGGAGAGAGGAGAGAUGGGAGGAGAGAGGAGAGAGGAGGGAUGGGAGGAGAGAGGAGAGAUGGGAGGAGAGAGGAGAGAUGGGAGGAGAGAGGAGAGAUGGGAGGAGAGAGGAGAGAGGAGGGAUGGGAGGAGAGAGGAGAGAUGGGAGGAGAGAGGAGAGAUGGGAGGAGAGAGGAAAGAUGGGAGGAGAGAGGAGGGAUGGGAGGAGAGAGGAGAGAUGGGAGGAGAGAGGAGAGAUGGGAGGAGAGAGGAGGGAUGGGAGGAGAGAGGAGGGAUGGGAGGAGAGAGGAGGGAUGGGAGGAGAGAGGAGAGAUGGGAGGAGAGAGGAGAGAUGGGAGGAGAGAGGAGAGAUGUGAGGAGAGAGGAGAGGAGGGAUGGGAGGAGAGAGGAGGGAUGGGAGGAGAGAUGGGAAGAGGAGAGAGGAGGGAUGGAAGGAGAGAUGGGAGGAGAGAGGAGGGAUGGGAGGAGAGAGGAGAGAGGAGGGAUGGGAGGAGAGAUGGGAGGAGAGAGGAGAGAGGAGGGAUGGGAGGAGAGAGGAGAGAUGGGAGGAGAGAGGAGAGAUGGGAGGAGAGAGGAGAGAUGGGAGGAGAGAGGAGAGAUGGGAGGAGAGAGGAGAGAGGAGGGAUGGGAGGAGAGAGGAGAGAUGGGAGGAGAGAGGAGAGAUGGGAGGAGAGAGGAGGGAUGGGAGGAGAGAGGAUGGAUGGGAGGAGAGAGGAGAGGAGGGAUGGGAGGAGAGAGGAGGGAUGGGAGGAGAGAUGGGAAGAGGAGAGAGGAGGGAUGGGAGGAGAGAUGGGAGGAGAGAGGAGGGAUGGGAGGAGAGAUGGGAAGAGGAGAGAGGAGGGAUGGGAGGAGAGAUGGGAGGAGAGAGGAGGGAUGGGAGGAGAGAGGAGGGAUGGGAGGAGAGAUGGGAGGAGAGAGGAGAGAUGGGGCACGAGACGUCAGCCCCUUGUACAUGACCAUGUCAGACACACGGCCAAACUGGAGACCGAUGCUUCACAAUCACAUCAGCCUUAA